UCACUUUGCCAGCAGAGGUACUAAAACUGAAACAAUACAGAGAAGAUUAGUGGGGCCCCUGCACAAGGAUGAUACGCAGAUGGGUGACAGGUUCCAUUUUUUU